GCAAAGGGCUUCCUCACCAUCCUAUACCUCCCAACCCACCAGCAGGGGUUAGCCGCUCCAGGGAGAGACCUCCUAUGCGCCAACCCUAACUUCAAGGACAAGGUCCAGAGAGGAAUCAUGGGAUGUCCCAGCUUCCAUACACCGCGAGCCUAGGGAGCAAAAGCAUCUGGGGCCCCUGAAAGCCUGGCACCUGAAAAGGGAUACCCCAGUCGCCAGCUUGUCCUCCUCCCCAACCGGAGCCCGAGGGAGGCGCUGGCAGCAGGAAGCCGGGGAAGGGCCCGGAGGAGCGCAGGCCCCACAGCCGAGCGGGUCUGUUCCAGAAAACAUCAGAUCCGAGAGCGAAGGAGAGUGCAACACUGGACCCAAACUGCUCAACAGUGUCCUCACAGGGACAUGAGGGUGGGGAAGGAUUGCUGACCUGCUAAGGAGCACCCUGAUAUGGGGAUCUGGGAGCACAAGAGGCCCAGGAAGAAUGUGCCCCCUGCACCUUACUUACAUACCCUGCCUGGACUCAGAGAGACCAGAAUCCAGACAACAGUUGCUGCUGGGCACGGCCACUCGUCCUGGCUUGUGGCAGAGGGCUCAGGCACAAGGUGGGCGGUUAGAGCUCUGGCACCAGAGCCCUUCUCGACAUCCCCACUGCUUACAACCAGUCCAAGCCCCAUCUCUGACUUAGAAGAUGGUUGUUAUUCCUCACUGGCUUACCAGCUGUCACCUCAUCCCCCUUCAGCCAGUUCCCCAUCAGCGAUCCAUGUGAGACUUGGACCAGGACACUCCCCUGCUUAAGGAUCUCAAGGUUCCCAUUCCUCUUUAAUAAAACCCCAACUCCUUACUUUGGCUUAGAGAGACACACGAUGUGACCUUUGCCCACCCUCUGAACACCUCUCCUGCUAGUCUGUCCCUUGAUUUCUUCACUGCAAUCACAAUGGCCCCUUUGCUGUUUCUCCAGCAGGCAGAGAUCUUUCUCAGCUCACACUUUCUGCCUUCACAUGGCCUCUGCCUGGAAUGCCCUUACCCAUACUCUUUGCAUGGCUUAUGAUGCAGGUCCCAGCAUAGGUAUCACAACUCACAGAGGCCUUCCCUGAAAAAACAGUGGCUUUGUCUGAGGAGCCCCACUCCCCAUAAAUCCCCCUACACCCAGCAGCCUGCACACAGCAUUGUCUGAAAUGACCUUGUUUGUAUAUUUACUUGUUUAUUGCCCAUGCCUCCCCC
rnacentral:lncRNA from 10 species